rnacentral:rRNA from 1 species
GACAGGGAGGUGACAACGUUGGUCGAAUUACUGGGCGUAAAGCGCGUGUAGGCGGCCAAGCAAGUCGGGUGUGAAAGCCCCGGGCUCAGCCCGGGAAGUGCAUUCGAUACUGCGUGGCUUGAGUCCCGGAGAGGAUGGUGGAAUUCUCGGUGUAGCGGUGAAAUGCGUAGAUAUCGGGAGGAACACCUGUGGCGAAGGCGGCCCCCUGGUUGGAUACUGACGCUGAUACGCGAAAGC